rnacentral:tRNA from 1 species
GCUCGGGCUUGGGCUAGGGGGGGGCGGCCUGCAGCGUCGCUGUGCUCAUCGUCAAGGCCAGCCUUGCAGGCGUUCUAUUCGCUGAUCCGAUCGC